rnacentral:rRNA from 1 species
CAGCUUGUUGGUGAGGUAAUGGCUCACCAAGGCGACGACGGGUAGCCGGCCUGAGAGGGUGACCGGCCACACUGGGACUGAGACACGGCCCAGACUCCUACGGGAGGCAGCAGUGGGGAAUAUUGCACAAUGGGCGCAAGCCUGAUGCAGCGACGCCGCGUGAGGGAUGACGGCCUUCGGGUUGUAAACCUCUUUCAGUAGGGAAGAAGCGAAAGUGACGGUACCUGCAGAAGAAGCGCCGGCUAACUACGUGCCAGCAGCCGCGGUAAUACGUAGGGCGCAAGCGUUAUCCGGAAUUAUUGGGCGUAAAGAGCUCGUAGGCGGUUUGUCGCGUCUGCCGUGAAAGUCCGGGGCUCAACUCCGGAUCUGCGGUGGGUACGGGCAGACUAGAGUGAUGUAGGGGAGA